UUUAUUGAGAGUUUGAUCCUGGCUCAGGACGAACGCUGGCGGCGUGCCUAACACAUGCAAGUCGAGCGGAGCCAUCCGAUAGAUCCCUUCGGGGUGAAAUCGGGGAAGCUUAGCGGCGGACGGGUGAGUAACGCGUGAGU
rnacentral:rRNA from 1 species